UACGGAGGGUGCAAGCGUUAAUCGGAAUUACUGGGCGUAAAGGGCGCGUAGGUUGUUUUGUAAGUUGGCUGUGAAAGCCCCGGGCUUAACCUGGGAAAGCCAGUCAAGACUGCUUAACUAGAGUACAGUAGAGGGUGGUGGAAUUUCCGGUGUAGCGGUGAAAUGCGUAGAGAUCGGAAGGAACACCAGUGGCGAAGGCGGCCACCUGGACUGAUACUGACACUGAGGCGCGAAAGCGUGGGUAGCGAACAGG
rnacentral:misc_RNA from 1 species